UGUGCAGCUCGUAGAGAAUGUCCUUCGUGAAGGUGCCGUGAAAUGGCGCCACCGCUUCCUCGCCGGAGGACAUGUUGUCGCCGCCGCGCCUCCUCCGCCACCGCUGCGCCGGGGAAGGAAGCCGCCGGCCCGAUGCGCGUAUAAUUGGCAAGUAUUCUUUACGCAAGAGCAAGCACAAGACAAACACGGCCGCAUCCAUCCAAAUGAAACCUGUAACACGCAAAAACUGUUUCAUUAUUUUUUUUCCUAAGAGGUGGCGGCAAGCUGAAGCAUUGCCAUGAGUUCGUACAGAAGUUCUCGCUCCUGCCGCAUUAUUUCAAUGUUAUUCUUGAUUCAUUAUUCAAUGAGAAACACAUGAAAACAAUGAUGGUAAUAUUUGUUCUUGUUCUAAUAAAAAAAAAAACUCAUCUU